CAGGGCUUGUGGAAACGGCCUCCACUGGGUUGGCGGACUUGUGAAGGAGCAAAGAUGGCGGAGUAAGAAGCUCCGCUGUGGUCCGGCCUACUUAGGCCCGGCCGGGGUAGGCCGGUGCCCGGGCGAUCCAUUGCUUCUGCUGACUCAUGCGAGGAAGAACAUUGACUUUUAGGUGCUUUUAUAUUCAUCUGGAAAAGAAAAAAUUUUGAACUCAGGAUUUGGCAAGAAUUUCUAUGUUGUCUCCUGGAGUGGAUAGUCCUGCCUCUUCUAUCCAGUCCCUUUCCAUAAUCUUGAAAUGCAAGUAUCUCUUCUCUACACUUUACCUCCAUGAUUGGAAAGGCAGCUUUUCUUUUUUCCCCACGUCAAAAAUUCAACACAGAGAAGCUCCUAGGAUGCAGUCAUUCUGCCAAUUUCUUCAGGAAGAAAGAAGCAACUGACAUGUUUCUUCUGCUAUUUUCUUAAUUGUAAAGAAAUUAUUUUGCAAGCUGAAGAGUGGUGUUAAUUUGAAACAAGUGCUUAGAUAGUGGUAUUUGUGAACUUUUUACCUUUUGUUCCCAGCAAGAAGACUAUCUAAAUAGCAAGUAUCAAGGUUUUUGUUGUUGUUGUUUUUAAAUGUCUUCCAGUUUUAGCACUAUCAUAAGCACAGUUGCAACUACAGGAGUAAAUUACAAAUGUGUUGUAAUUGGAAAUGGAAGAGAUGCUAAAUAUAUAUGUAUCUCCAGGCUCAUCCUGUGACAUAGAUUAACUGGCUAAGAACAGAGGUCCAAUAUUGCAGUUAAAUCUUUGAUGUGAUAAGCAUAACAACAAAAUAUCAAAAAGUUAAUUCCAUGUCUGAAUAAAUCAUCACCAUCUCUGUAUAACUACGUAUUGUAACAUGUAAAUCCACAUUCUUGGAUGAGAAGAGCAAUUUUUUUCUCCUACAGAAGGAAGCUGUCCUGUCUCAGAAGUCUUUGGACAUUUGGUAUUUUAAAAUGCUUUGCUUAUCUGUUCUUCUAAGAAAGGGCCAUAUUGUACAGAUGCUAACCCUAUGAAUGCAUGCUUGGAGUUAGUGAAAGUUUGGUAAAAGGAAACAAAAGUUUUGAGUCCAACAAUGGAACCCUGUUCACCUCCCUAGGAUGAGAAGCUGCUGUUACAAAUUACUUCAUUCUUUUUUGUGGAGUCUUAUAUAGCACGUAAGACUUUUUCCAUGCUGCUAAAGCUGGAAGAUAAAUGGCAUAUGUGGAUUUUCUGUUCAGAAGAUGGGAUGGACCCUACAGUAUAACCUGUCCUCAACUUUGGAGGAAUGGGGCAAAAUGAGAAAACUUGCCAUAUGACUCCCCUCUCCUAAGAAAAGGAAGCAGAAAAUGACUUACAGUUCCACCUGACUUGAUGGCAUUUUACAUCCUGCAGCUGUUUUUGUAAAAGCAUAAAUAACUUUUUCAUGUGAUCCAAGACCAGUAUUUGGAUGUUUGAUUUCUUUUUCUAGAUGACAGCUGUAGAGUUAGGCUGAAAAGGCUAGGACUCAGGUAACUUUCCUCAAUCUCAUCAGAGCAUGGGCCUCAGACGCAGUGUGCCCAAACUAGUGGUUGGUUCAGUUUACAAGAAAUUCAGGUCUGAAAAAAACCUGAAACAAGAAAAAUAGUUCCAAUAAGAAGUAUGGGUCUUACUUUCCCUUAAAACUUACACUGUAGAGGAACAGAAUAUGUAUAGAGCUGUUCUUCUUGCAGAAUCAGCAGAGGACCAGGGUGUGAAUUGUCAGGUCUCUGUAUAAGAAGAAUGAAAUCUUUAUGCAUUUUUGUGAUUGGAGAAAGAAUUUGAAAGAAUUUAAAGCUUCUUAGUUGAAAUUAAGAACAAAUCAUCUUAGAUUAUCUCUGUGAUUUUGGGAAUAUUUGCCUAGGGGCAAACAUGCUGUGAUGUUGAAAACUUGGGGCAGAUUUACCAAAAUUUGAGAGGGAUAGAACUGGCCAAAAAAUGGAGAUGGUGAGCACUCUUGAUUAGUUUAAUUGAUCAGCCAAUUUAAAAUGGCAUAAGAAAGCUUUGUAGUAAAAAUAAAUAGAUAAAAUGUCAUUUUCUCUAAUUGAGGGCUAUUACUGAGUGGUAAAACAUAGAAGUAACUUGGGGUAAAGGUAACAAUUUUUUCUCUUAAGUAACUUCCCAGCCACUUAUGAUAUUUUAGUAUUUUGGAAUCGUUAAGACAACAGAAUUUACAUACAUGGGUCCCACUGAUAUAAUGAGACUAUUACAUAGAAAAGUCAUAUCUUUAGUUGUUUGUUACCUAUCUUCCUCGUGUCCUUUUGACAACUUUUUGGGUAGGAUCAUUUGGCAGGAAAUAAGGACCCUGCACUAUGAGCAUAGUGAAACUAUCUCUGGCCCACUUGUUUGAAUAGGUGUCAGACUCAGCUUCUCCGGUUGCUUUACAUUUUUUCAUUUCAUAGCUAAGAGAACCACUAUUUAAUGUUCUUUCAAGUUGUUUCUGCAUCUUGUUAGCAAAUGGCAUUUAACAAAAUGAGUGUAUUCCACUUAUAUUUGUCCAGCGUUUACUUAUAUAGAAAUUUUUUCCCGGUCUAUUUUGGUCCCCUUCUUAUGACAAAAGUUGUAAUUUUAGGCAGGACUGUGCCUCAAGCUAUAGCUGUGCCUGCUUCCUCUCCUUUGCUCAUCUAUGUUAGCUGGCAGGUUUGGGUUUUUUUGUUUAAGUUAAAAACGGGAUAUGUGCAAUAGAAAUAUAUAUAUGUAUAUUUUAAUACUUGUGGACAAAUGUUACAAGUUGUUUCAGAACAACAAAAUCACCAAUGUCUUCCAUUUUGAGAUGUGUAUAGUUUUGUAAGCAUUAGUGCUUGGUAGAAUAUUGUAGUGCCAUGUUAGGAGUUAGUGCAUGAGCCUAGUAAUAUUUUAAACUUUGGGAUGAAUUAUAAUAACCAAUAGUGUAAAAAGUGGGAAAUUUAGACCUUUUCUUUUUUCAUAAGUUUUUGUACCCAUGAUAUUCUCCCUGGGGAGAGAUUAGGCCAAAAAAAAAAAACCUUGUUUAUAAAUAGUAAUGUGGGAUCGCAGUGUGAAAUACUGUGUUUGAGGAGUUUUAAGCUUUCCGUGAGGUAGCUGCAAACCAGCUGCCUUUGUGUCUUAUGAAACCUCACAUGAAAACGUGGCCCCAUUUCAUGAUUCUGUUUUGCUCAGUUUGAGGUGAGAUUGUUCUUAUGCUGUUUUCACAUUUUGUCUUCUACGUUUAUUAUUUUCCUACUCCUUUUGCAUCAAGAAAUUAUAUCGCAUGUCUUACUGAGAUGCUCUGUUAGUUGCUUAAAUGAGUGCUUUUCUAAUCUGCAGGUCAUUAACACUUUCUGUCUGCAGCAUGCCAUGUGUCAGUAGUUCAGAGUGUCCUGCAUUAAUUUGUCAUGUGCUUUUCCCAUUUCCAAAUUUGCUGAAUUGUGUAUUGUUGGAAUUCCAGACCUUUUCAAGGAAUUGGAAAUGCAGCCAACAGAGCCUGUGUAGGUUGCCAUGUAGAGUAACUAACUUUUGCUUGGUCAUAGCUGCCUCAGACGGCUUUCACUUUUCUACUUUCCUAGUAGACAUAAAAGUUAUUUUGUUCUGAAAGUGUAAGAUAGCUUACUGUAGAAAAGAAAUUCCUACCUCUAAAAGCUGCCUUGAGAACUGGGAAGUGGCAGUUUUCUGGGGUGAUUUUUAAAUCUCAGUAUUAGGAGAGUCCAGGAUUUAUUGACACAGGUCCUACAGUCAGCAUGAUAGGAAAUGCAAAUCUAUUUUAAUGCAGUGUGUCUUGUGUGUAGAAGCAGACUUGGACAAAUAGACUCUUCUGCAGCAGAUCUCCAGGGACCCAGGUUUCAAUUCUCAUAGUGUACUUUAAGUAGUUGUACUCUUGGCUCAAAUAGUUUAGUGCCUGUGAGAAUCCAUUUUCGAAAAGCAUUUAAACAUUUUUUCAAAAUACCUCUGAAAAGGUAAUGAAUGCAAAAUAGCACAGUAUAUAUAGCAAAGGGUAUUCCCUAUUGCAAAAAAAAAAAGCCAUAAAAUGAACUGAUACUUUUUGAGAGGUAGACUUUUACUAGCAAUAACAGUUUUGGCAUGGUGUAGUAAGUUUCAUUAGCAAGCUUGUAUAGUAGAGUUAAGUAUCACUAGAGUUUGUGAUGCUCUGUGGUUAACAGAGUUGCACAAAAGGAUGUUCUAGAUAAAGAGCAUAUAAAAGGUACUUUUAAAACUAUGAAUGUAUAUGAAUAUAUCAGUGAGAAAUAGCAACUUUGUGUAAGUUAAAAGUUAAAGACCCUAUUGGUUUCCUAGAGCAGAGGGUUAGAGCCAUUGAAUGAAAUUUUUCUAUUGCUUAACCUGGAAAUAAAUGUACUCUUACUGAUGAAGUCCCACUGAAGCCAUCAUGUGGGGAUUUUGCUUAUGAUUUUUUUUUAAGCACCAGGCUAAUAGCAUACUUUUUGCUUUGUCACCGUAUCUUUCUCCAUUAGUUUCCUGGGUGCAUUUUUAAAAAGGAACAGUUUGUUGUGUAUAUGUAUUUAAGGUUAAAAAGAACAAGAACUUGGAUAGCUAGCUGACCUAUGGUUAGUUUAGGGGAGUUAAGAUUUAAAGAUGUAAAACAAAAGGAUUGAUGGGAAUAGCCAAAGACAGUAUGUUGGUUUUUUAAACCUUGUCUAAUACAGAUGUGCUAGGCUUGUGGCCUGUGACUACUUAUUUUAAUGGGAACCCAGCAAACUAGUUUCUUGAUCUGAGCAAGCUUAGCUCACAUCAGGAUAUAAUAGUGGAAUGAGGGUGACUUCUUACUCCCUUUUACCUCAUGUCAUCUUGGCCAUUUAGCACCUUGAAGACAUCCUUGAGAAGACUCGGUCUCUGUUCCCUUGUUUUGCCAGGGGAAGAAAAAAACUAAAAGAUAAAUGGAGAAGAUCUAAGAAAAUAGUGCCUCUUGAAUAUUUAAUUCUUAUAUGGCAAAUCCAAAGGAUAGGGAGGCUAUAUUAAAUUGAUUAUAGCUCCUCUUUAAAUGUCCCACGCCAUCAGUUGAUGUUGGAGACAUUGGAAUAACCAAGCAAUAUUCAGACAUCUGCAUGAUCAUGAGGACACCAGAUGUAUUACUGUGAUGUCAACAGUUUAGUUUCAUAGAACAGUUAAAGCUUACCCUUAACAGCCACAUCAGUGGUUUCAAAUGCUAAAAUGUGCUACAAGUUUUUGUAGUUUCAAAGUAUACAGUUAAUUACUUUUCAUUGUUGUGGUCUCAUGUUUACUCUUUGUGUACCUGUGAUAUGCAAAAUAUGAAGAGACCCUUGUUCUCCAGGAGUUUACAUUAUCAUGGUGCUGCUGGUGCAAGCAAAUUACUUCUAGUUUAUUCAGAACAUUGCUUGGCUAUUAAUCAUACCAUAUUUGGAAGGAUCCCUUGACCAACCAUUUUCAAAACCAGAGGGCUAUGCUAAAUUUCAGGGCAUUGAUUUUUGCGUUUACAUUGUAUUAGCUCUGCUGUUCAUAAACUCCUUCCCCCUGGGAGCUGUGCAGGUAAUGCUCUUCAUAUGAAUUGGAGAAGAAACCAUUCUAAGAGCACCUUUACCAUCCCUACACCACUUAUGCUCCUCUAUGCUACAGCAGGCAAAAGGCCAAGAAACUUACUGCUCCAGAAGACUGUGCAUCUCUCAAUUCUUUUUUUUCCCAGAGUUUUUACAUCAUUCUCUAUCCAGAAGGACCAGGAUUUACAAUUAAAUUAAGCCUUUUAUAACUGAAUAGUGGUCCUAAUUUUAAACUUCGUGUGUGACUUUUGUACCUCUCUUCUGAAGCAUUGUGAUAGAUGUGGAGCACCUGCCUGCAUUUCUAAGCAAUUACUUUAUUAACCCCCAUUUUUUUAUUGAAACUUUGCAUGUAUCCUUUGUUUUUAAUUCCUCUGAAUCAAGGGGUUUACUUUGCAUGUUUAUUAUUAAAAGUGGGUCUGGAUGAAAGUGCAAGAAAUAGUAACAGGCCUAUAACUCUGAUUUUAGAGUACUGAUAUUCUAAUGCAUGAUUGAUUCAAAAUGUCCAGUAUUACGUGGCUACUAGUAAUUUAUAUAUAUAUAUAUAUGCAUCUAAUAAUGAAGCAAUAGACUUAAACCAGUAGCUUGAAUUUAUUGUUUGGAUCAUUAGAUUUCAUUUUCUAAUUAAAGAUGAUCUUAACUUCCAUUGAAAAUGGGAACUAGAUGAUAAACAGGAGCAACUGUAAGACAUUCAGUCAGGAAUAGAGCAUAACAGUGCUCAUCACCCUCUAACCUCUUGCCUGUUUCCAUUAGUCCCCAAGCAUGUUUAAAAACAAUAUAAAAGGCACAAACUAAGCAUGUGGAAUAAAUAAAUAUAGCUAUGGCUAUAGUAAUCAGAAAGGUGCAGAGUUUCAGAAAGGGUAGGAAAGUAGGGACUAUAAGUGUGAAGUAUGUAAAAUAGAUAGGGGUUUGUCUGAUAAAGUUUAUGUGGCUCAAAUUUGCAUCUCAUAACUAGGAUCUUGGAAGUGAAUAGAGGCAAUGUGCACAUAUUUCAUGUUUCACGAUUUUCAGAUAACUAGGCUACUUUCUGGAUGGUACUGGUAUGGUAUCCGAGAAGGGUCCCAGCAGCAAAAGAAACUGCUCCAUUUUGUGGAAAUAGUCCUGAGAACAUUAACAUACCCGUGGGUUAGUUUUUCUUUUGUUAUUGUAUUACAUUAACACUUUUUUUUUUAAUAGCCAGAGUUUUAUUCUUGAUACUUUGGUCAAAUGACAUAAUUUCUUGCCUAAAGCUUUUGAUACCAGCUAAACAGGAGCAAGUUUUCAAAUUUGUUUAUUGUGGUAGCUUAAAAUUUUUUAGAUGAUUCCUAACUUUGGAAUGAUCUUUGUAAAUUAUUAUGGUACAUAAUGUAAAUGGAUUACUUAUAUCUGAAAGAGGCCUAAACAGGAUUAGACUAGACACUUUGCUGUGGGAUUUCACUCCAAAUACCUUUGGGGAUGUGUAAGUUUAACAUCACUGCAGUGUCUGGUCUCCACUCAAAUACAGGAAGUAAGAUGUCAUAUCCCUUGUGUAAAUCUUUGCCAUGUAUUAGUAACAUGCCUGUCAACCAGUGAAACCAAUGAAGAUUUAAGGACUGAGUUUCUCUAAACUCUCCCAUUAUUCCACUAAGGCAUAUUAAAAGUUACUGGGAAAACAGACAUCACAGAUUUCUCCACAAGUCCAUAUACUUAAGCUUCCUUUUAAUUCAAAAUAGAUAUUUUAGGGUUACUAACAAUCUUCAGAAGAUUUUGUGUCCUGUUGUGAUGGUUUGCCAUGCCACUGAUUGAAAUAUAUUUUUCUCCCAGGGAUAAUAAAGAUAUUCUGGCAAUACAUUAUCAUCAGUCCUUAAACAACAGUAAUCAUUUUAGGGCUUACCCUAAAAUUACUCAUCACUUGUAAUUUGAAAGAUUCCCAUUCAAGUACCCUUCACAUAGAUUUUUAUGUACUGUCUUAUUGAGUAUAGUUGUCACUGUUUUCACUUGCUGAUGCAUCUUCUCCCUUGCACCAUUGGUAUAGACGAUAAUGUUAAAAGAAUUUCAUUGAAUGUUAAAGUAUUACAAAAGGCAGCUUGCUUUUUUAAUCUAUGCAUCUUUGGGAUUUUAGAAAAGAUUUUAUUCUUUGAUGUAAAAAGGAACUGCUUUAAGAGUUGGAAACUCUGCACCUGUGUAUAUGUAUAUUUUGGCAAUAAAGCAGCAUGGGCUGAGAAUGCACUGAAA